AUUGAACGCUGGCGGCAGGCCUAACACAUGCAAGUCGAGCGGAUGAGUGGAGCUUGCUCCAUGAUUCAGCGGCGGACGGGUGAGUAAUGCCUAGGAAUCUGCCUGGUAGUGGGGGACAACGUUUCGAAAGGAACGCUAAUACCGCAUACGUCCUACGGGAGAAAGUGGGGGAUCUUCGGACCUCACGCUAUCAGAUGAGCCUAGGUCGGAUUAGCUAGUUGGUGAGGUAAAGGCUCACCAAGGCGACGAUCCGUAACUGGUCUGAGAGGAUGAUCAGUCACACUGGAACUGAGACACGGUCCAGACUCCUACGGGAGGCAGCAGUGGGGAAUAUUGGACAAUGGGCGAAAGCCUGAUCCAGCCAUGCCGCGUGUGUGAAGAAGGUCUUCGGAUUGUAAAGCACUUUAAGUUGGGAGGAAGGGCAGUAAGUUUAUACCUUGCUGUUUUGACGUUACCAACAGAAUAAGCACCAGCUAACUUCGUGCCAGCCGCCGCGGUAAAAC
rnacentral:rRNA from 1 species